GCAAACUUGGUCAUUUAGAGGAAGUAAAAGUCGUAACAAGGUUUCCGUAGGUGAACCUGCGGAAGGAUCAUUACAGUGCGAUUGUGAGGUACGGCCGCUGCUUGCAUGCCCUCUGCCUCACAACCAGCCACCCGUGUCUACCGUUACCUCCUGUUGCCUCGGCGGGCCCGCUUCGGCCGCCGGGAAGGCACCUAGACAGUGCCUUCCCGGUCAGCGCCCGCCAGAGGGCCACACGCGAACUCUUUUUGUGAAUAUCGUGACGUCUGAUUGAGACUUUGAUCAUCGAAUCAAGCUUAUAAAACUUUCAACAACGGAUCUCUUGGUUCCGGCAUCGAUGAAGAACGCAGC
rnacentral:misc_RNA from 1 species